ACAUUUCCGACUCUGUACACCUAAAUGAUUUUCACAAGGUUUGCAGAGCGUAGCCGAAAUAAACUUCUUAUCGGCUAAAAGGGUAUAGCGGGAAACGGCUAUGCCUCCCGUUUUGAAAAGGAGUAGUUGUUA
rnacentral:ncRNA from 1 species